rnacentral:tRNA from 1 species
GGGCGAGUAGUAAUGGCGGGAAGCCAAAAAACUCCAAUCCGAACAUUCACCCUUCAGGGUCGGCUGGAAUUGGGUUAUCAUACAUCAAACCGUAAAUUUGAAGAAGUAGGUUCGAAUCCUACCUCGCCCA